rnacentral:lncRNA from 1 species
ACACACCAACAUGUUAAAACUCUUCACCACCAUUAACCAUUUUUUUCUAUCAACUCACAUAAUAACACGUUCUUCAUUUCAUCCCUACCAACACAACAUAAACUUUAUCACAAUCACAGUCACAAUCUUCAUGCUUUCCUCACACCUCACAUUUCAAGUCUCCAUGUAAAACCACUAUUCCAUCUUCAUGAUACAAACACUCCACAAAAUCAAAAUCUUCAACAUCAUAUAACCAACAACAUAUCCAGCAUAAAAACAUCAUAUUCACACUCUUCUACACAAACCGAACACCAUAAACUCAUAAUCCUCCAUGAAACCUUUC